rnacentral:rRNA from 1 species
AGUGGCGCACGGGUGCGUAACACGUAUGCAAUCUACCUCAAACCGGGACAUAACAUUGAGAAAUCGAUGCUAAUAUUCCAUAACACUAUGAUGUGGCAUCACAUUAUAUUUAAAGCUCCGGUGGUUUGAGAUGAGCAUGCGUCCCAUUAGCUAGUUGGCGAGGUAACGGCUCACCAAGGCAACGAUGGGUAGGGGCUCUGAGAGGAUUACCCCCCACACUGGUACUGAGACACGGACCAGACUCCUACGGGAGGCAGCAGUAAGGAAUAUUGGUCAAUGGGCGCAAGCCUGAACCAGCCAUGCCGCGUGCAGGAAGACGGCCUUAUGGGUUGUAAACUGCUUUUAUACGGGAGUAAACGCACGUUCGUGAACGUGCUUGCAAGUACCGUAUGAAUAAGCAUCGGCUAACUCCGUGCCAGCAGCCGCGGUAAUACGGAGGAUGCAAGCGUUAUCCGGAUUUAUUGGGUUUAAAGGGUGCGUAGGCUGGCCAAUAAGUCAGAGGUGAAAAGCACGUGCUCAACAUGUGCACUGCCUUUGAUACUGUUGGUCUUGAGUGCAAAUGAGGUUGGCGGAAUGUGUAGUGUAGCGGUGAAAUGCUUAGAGAUUACACAGAACACCGAUAGCGAAGGCAGCUAACCAAGAUGCAACAGACGCUGAGGCACGAAAGCGUGGGGAUCAAACAGGAUUAGAUACCCUGGUAGUCCACGCUGUAAACGAUGAUUACUCGCUGUUGGCGAUACACAGUCAGCGGCCAAGCGAAAGCGUUAAGUAAUCCACCUGGGGAGUACGAUCGCAAGAUUGAAACUCAAAGGAAUUGACGGGGGCCCGCACAAGCGGAGGAGCAUGUGGUUUAAUUCGAUGAUACGCGAGGAACCUU